GCAAAGACAGAGAAUUCACGUGCUGCCCAGGCAUAGCCACAUAGCAGGUGGACAUCCCUGGACACUUUUCUGACCCUCAUUGGAUUUUCCUGGAAGUACGGAGAGUUACAUCCAGAGAACUCUGAACAUUUUGGAAGGACCCCAAUCCUGCAAACAAUGAAUGGCAAUAAAUCCUGGGACUGGAAAGGUCUUCCAAGAAACAAAAGGAAAUUUACCUAUUUCUUAAACAGAACAAAACCCAUUAUAUCUUGUAAUUACCAUGUGACAGCAUUGGACAAUUUUAAACAUGUUUAAUGAAGCCAGCUGUCAUGUUGAUGAGACUCAUGUGUCAAGGAACUGAAGAUGGUCCAUAGCCAACAGCCAGCCAGGAACUGAUUGGCUAGUAGUCCUUGAGGAACUGAAUCUCACCAACAACCAUAUAGUGAACUUGCAAAUGGUGCUUCCUCAGUUGAAACUAAAGAUGAGACUGAAGUCCUAGUUAACACUUUGUUUGCCACCUUGUAAGAUUGUGAAACAGAGGCCUGAGCUAAGCCAUGCCCAGAUUCUUGAUCCACAGAAACUGUGAGAUAAUAAAUGUGCAUUGAU
rnacentral:lncRNA from 10 species